rnacentral:rRNA from 1 species
UACGAAGGGGGCUAGCGUUGCUCGGAAUCACUGGGCGUAAAGGGUGCGUAGGCGGGUUUUUAAGUCAGAGGUGAAAUCCUGGAGCUCAACUCCAGAACUGCCUUUGAUACUGAAAGUCUUGAGUAUGGGAGAGGUGAGUGGAACUGCGAGUGUAGAGGUGAAAUUCGUAGAUAUUCGCAAGAACACCAGUGGCGAAGGCGGCUCACUGGCCCAUAACUGACGCUGAGGUGCGAAAGCGUGGGGAGCAA